CUCAUGGACGAAAGCCAGGGGAGCGAAAGGGAUUAGAUACCCCUGUAGUCCUGGCCGUAAACGAUGAACACUAGGUGUCGGGAGAAUCGACCCCCUCGGUGUCGUAGCCAACGCGUUAAGUGUUCCGCCUGGGGAGUACGCACGCAAGUGUGAAACUCAAAGGAAUUGACGGGGGCCCGCACAAGCGGUGGAGUAUGUGGUUUAAUUCGAUGCAACGCGAAGAACCUUACCAGGGUUUGACAUCCUGCGAAUCUCUUGGAAGCAGGAGAGUGCCUUCGGGAACGCAGUGACAGGUGGUGCAUGGCUGUCGUCAGCUCGUGUCGUGAGAUGUUGGGUUAAGUCCCGCAACGAGCGCAACCCACGUCUUUAGUUGCCAGCAUUUAGUUGGGCACUCUAGAGAGACUGCCGGUGAUAAACCGGAGGAAGGUGUGGAUGACGUCAAGUCAUCAUGCCCCUUACAUCCUGGGCUACACACGUACUACAAUGCUACGGACAAAGGGCAGCAAGAUCGCGAGGACAAGCAAAUCCCAUAAACCGUGGCUCAGUUCAGAUCGUAGGCUGCAACUCGCCUACGUGAAGGCGGAAUCGCUAGUAAUCGCAGGUCAGCAUACUGCGGUGAAUACGUUCCCGGGCCUUGUACACUCCGCCC
rnacentral:rRNA from 1 species